UACCCGCUGAACUUAAGCAUAUCAAUAAGCGGAGGAAAAGAAACCAACAGGGAUUGCCUCAGUAACGGCGAGUGAAGCGGCAAAAGCUCAAAUUUGAAAUCCUGGCCUCUUUGGGGCCAUGAGUUGUAAUUUGAAGGUUGAGAGGUUUGGCACCACGUAUCUCUAAGUCCAUUGGAACAUGGCGCCUGGGAGGGUGAGAGCCCCGUGAGAGAUGUGGCCGGUGCCAUUUUUACUUCUUUUCCGAAGAGUCGAGUUGUUUGGGAAUGCAGCUCUAAGUGGGUGGUAAAUUCCAUCUAAAGCUAAAUAUUGGCGAGAGACCGAUAGCGAACAAGUACAGUGAUGGAAAGAUGAAAAGCACUUUGAAAAGAGAGUGAAAAAGUACGUGAAAUUGUUGGAAGGGAAGGGCUUGCAAGCAGACACGAUCCUCUCGGGGAUUGGGCCAGCAUCGGUUGGCAAGGGGUGGAAAAGGCAGCAGGGAAUGUGACUCGGCGCUUUUAGUGCCGUGAGUUUAUAGACCUGUUGAGAUACACCCACUUCCGACCGAGGCCUGCGAUUAUUCUAGGAUGCUGGCGUAAUGGUUGCAAGUCGCCCGUCUUGAAACACGGACC
rnacentral:rRNA from 1 species